rnacentral:rRNA from 1 species
UACGGAGGGUGCAAGCGUUAUCCGGAUUCACUGGGUUUAAAGGGUGCGUAGGCGGGCAGGAAAGUCCGUGGUGAAAUCUCUGAGCUUAACUCAGAAACUGCCAUGGAUACUAUUUGUCUUGAAUAUUGUGGAGGUGAGCGGAAUAUGUCAUGUAGCGGUGAAAUGCUUAGAUAUGUCACAGAACACCAAUUGCGAAGGCAGCUUACUAAGCUAUGAUUGACGCUGAGGCACGAAAGCGUGGGGAUCAAACAGG